ACCGAGGGAGCGAUUCUCUUCCAAUUAUCAAUCGUAUCGCGGAUUUUAAUCCCUUGAUACUUAAUCUCAAGGAGG
rnacentral:sRNA from 1 species